AACAUUAAAAUAGUACAGGCUCAAUUCAUGCAUAGAAAUUCAUUAAAGAUCCAUGGAAUUCUAUUAUUUUAUAAUGGGCAAAAUAGUAAUUUGGAUAUUAUAUAUAGGUUAUAGUCCUCAUGCUGAAUUCAUUAUUAACUCUAGGCAUCCUAUGGUUGUGAAUAUUUCUAGAUAAUGAAUCUUGGACUUGGAAGAUCGAAUUGCUGCACUCUUCUUUCAUAUUCUACAGAUAAAUAUGGGAUGUCUCAGUUCUCUUAGAAACGAAAACAAGCUUCUCAUCGUUCUCAUCAUCGCGGGAAAUUGAAGUUAAUGGAAACACCAUCGGUGAGGCAACACUGGGGCGAAGAGUUGUGGAGGUUGGGCCAAUCUUGAGAGAGGUUGAAGCCAUAACAAACCGUAUCAAUGGUGGAGAUUAAGACUAUGGAGCCGGUGGGAUCCAUGAGAGAGCACUGGAAAUGGUAGAGCUGUUACGGUUUGUGGAAUCGGAAAAUGAAAUAGUUUCGAGUGGCAUAUAAAUACAUCCCAAAGUGGAGCUAGCUCGAUAAGAUGACGGCGUGCACAUAAUAAUUCGUGGAUGCAUUAUCUCAGAACAGAUUGCAUGUCCAAGUUCAUAUUCUAACAUGUGCAAUCAUCAACUAUCAUUGGGAAGUGAAUUAAUAUAAUCUAAAAAUGAAUUAAAUAUAUAUAUGUUCAGUCAACUAUACCGACUUCAUCCUGCAUCAUAGAGAUCAUAAUAAUCCGGCCAGUAAAUAGCAAGUUUUGAUCUGUUGCCUCUGGCUAUUGAGGAGACGGAUCAGUUUCCAGUUUCAAGUUUCCACACCAUCUAUAUAUAUUCAUCGUGGAUCCCACUUACAGUAACUCGGACCUUGUGACGCGAGACAGCAUUUCAAAUUCAUAAACAGAACCUAUGUUUGUUUUGGCAGUUUUUUAA